GCCAUUAUAUAAGCCGACUGACAUUGUAAAAGAUAUUCAUCGGGAAUAUGGUGUUCAAUUGCCGUAUCAUCAAGCUUGGCAUGGUAAGGAGCUGGCUAUGAAGGAGAUUUAUGGUGAUAGAUCACUAUCUUAUGACCAAAUUCGGUGGUAUUG